rnacentral:rRNA from 1 species
AGCGCAGCUGAUCAUUCAUCCGGUGAGGACGAAGGCCUCGGGUUGUAAACUGCUUUUGUACGGAACGAAAAGCCUUGGGCUAAUACCCCGAGGUCAUGACGGUACCGUAAGAAUAAGCACCGGCUAACUACGCGCCAGCAGCCGCGGUAAUACGUAGGGUGCAAGCGUUAAUCGGAAUUACUGGGCGUAAAGCGUGCGCAGGCGGUCUUGUAAGACAGAGGUGAAAUCCCCGGGCUCAACCUGGGAACUGCCUUUGUGACUGCAAGGCUGGAGUGCGGCAGAGGGGGAUGGAAUUCCGCGUGUAGCAGUGAAAUGCGUAGAUAUGCGGAGGAACACCGAUGGCGAAGGCAAUCCCCUGGGCCUGCACUGACGCUCAUGCACGAAAGCGUGGGGAGCAAACAGGAUAGAUACCCUGGUAGUCCAAGCCCUAAACGAUGUCAACUGGUUGUAGGGUCUUCACUGACUCAGUAACGAAGCUAACGCGUGAAGUUGACCGCCUGGGGAAUACGGA